AUGAUUCCAUGAUGCUGUGAUGCUCCAGGGCAGGAUUACAUCAGCUGAAGACAUCCUGGUUUCUUGAGAACAGAGUAGUAAGAGAAAAGUUUCACCCAGGGAGGGACAAAUUCCUAACCAAGCUUCUGGACACCAAAUCUCAGAGAGGCUGUUUCCCUGCUGUUCACCACUCCGCCGUCUUCCCAGAAGUCUGCUCUGAAUCAUCCCGGACAGGAUUGCCCACCAUGUGCUGCACCCCUAUCCUGCAGAUUUUGCCUGCACCACCCUCUCCCUUCUUCUGGGCACCACAGGCCGCACUUCUUGGGUUCAGCAAACUGGGUGCCGCAGGACCUGAGUCAUGUGAUACACGGCUCAUCGAGUGCAACUUCUCCUGUGGGGCAUUGAAGAUGUGCCAUGGGGCAGGAGCCAGCUGUCUGUCCACUGCAUCUUGGUAGUGAGCGGCAUUCCUGCCAGGGAUGGGCUGAAGGCUGCUAGUGCCUUCACCCGGGAAGAGCUCCAGCAUUUGACCCUCAUGAAUCAAACUCCUUUACCAACUCACCAGCCUUUAAAGACUGUGUUUUCAUUUCCCCCAGAAGUUAUUGACUUAUUUUCAUUAUUGUUUUUUCUUAUUUAUUGGUCGAGACAAGGUCUUGCUAUGUAGUUCAGGCUGGGCUUAGACUCAGUAUGUAGCCCAGACUGAACCUGCAGUCUUGAACUUACAGUGAUCCUCCUGCUUCAGCCUCCUGAGUACUGGGAUUAUAGGCACACACUACCAAGUUUAGGUCUCCCAGGAUUUAUUUUAUUUUAUUUUUAUUUUUUUUUUUGUACCAGGGAUCAAACUCAGGUCUUUGUGCUUGCCAGGCAAGCGACGGAACCACUGAGCUAAAUCCCCGGACCUUAGGGUUUUAUUUUAGAGUGGGAAGUGUGGGUGAAAGUCAGGCCAGCGCAGGAACAGGAGGUCCCAGUGUUGGAAGGAGCCGAGGGCUGUGUGGGCUGUGCGACUUCUUGUCCUUGCUAUGAGUGGAGAGCAGCUCUGCCUGCCAUCGAGCCCCCACUGCCUGUGCUGUUCUGGCACGGACUGACCACGGUGCUCAGGAGGUGGGAUCACAGGGCGCCUGACACUGCUGGCCUGCUCCUCAGAGGCUGCAUGUCACCGCUGCCUCCGCCUGCGGGUGCUGGGCUGGUGGUGGCCGAGGUGUGGCAAGGCCCCUCUGCUCUGGCCCCUGUGCCUGUCCGAACCUCCUCUGUUCAGUGUCUCCAUCAAUGUCUCCAUUCUGCGGUGCCCACCAGGCAGCUUCCCCUGUUUCCGCACAGACAUGGGGUGGAGAGCGCCCGGCCGGUCUGGGCCUUGAGGACAGCGCCACAGGCUGUUGAAGGCCCUGCUUCUGUGGGACUGGGCGCUGUCUCCUGGGCCCUUGUGACCACACAUGGGGGUUGGGGCCAGAGUCAGAUGGCCGGGGCUCGUGUGCAGGGGAAGGUGCCCUCAGCCCCGCUGCAGGAGCCUGACCUCUGUGCACGCGAAGGUGGCAGCUGAGGCCUUGCAUCUGCCCCUGGAGGGCCUGGGUCCAAAGGAGCAGGAGGCCAGGUGGGCAGAGGCCCAGGUCAGGACUGGAGCUGAGAGACCCCAGGGCAGACAGAUGCAGGAAGUGGGCUGACCUAGGGAGGAAAGCUCAUGCUCCAGCACUCCCAGGCCAGGCUCCCUGGUGCGCCUGCACCCCCGGGUCGCAGUUCCAGGUGGGAGUGACCCAGGGCAUAGUCCAAAGGUGUCCAGCUUUUGACCCUGAGCAGCCUCUUGGUGUCUGCACUUUUCUAGGGUCAAUGAGGAGCGGUGCCACCUACUAGGGUUGUUCCUGAUCUUAGAACAGCCAGGAAACCCACAGCCAGUGCCGAUGGGCACCCCUGGGGCUCCCUGCCCAGUCUGGAGGAGAGCCACUGUAGCGGUCCACCCUUCCUGGCCUGGCCCUUGCCUGAGCUGCUCUGCCUCUCCCCUCGCAGGGUCCUGUCCACCAAUGAGGCUGUCCCCAGUUUGGACGGCUCAGGCUCGCCCUGCUCCUGCAGCAUGUGUGGCAGGCAGUGUGUGAGUGCACCAGAGCCGGGCAGUGGUGGGGGUUCUGCCAGCCCGGGCUGAGACCUUCUAGCGGGUGCCCCACAGCACCGUCUGGGGCCCUUGGCAUUGUGGUGACAGCUGUCCCGGUCCUGCCCUCUGCAGAGCCCAGCUUUGCGCCCCUUUGCUCCCAAAGGGCCCAUGCUUGCUCGACCUCCCAGGCUUGGGCCCAUGCUCUGCUUUGUUUAAUGUAAUGGCGAAUGCGUUGAAGUUGGAAGUUACUGCUUUAUCUCGUGCUAUUUGCUCUGAUUUUGUGUAUAUUUCUUAUACCUUUUUGCCUUCUUUUAUUCUUUAAACAUUAAAAAGUUUUCAUUAGCA